rnacentral:tRNA from 1 species
ACCUGGCUGGCUCGGUUGGUAGAGCAUGUGACUCUUGAUCUCAGGGUUGUGAGUUCCAGCCCCAUGUUGGGUG